rnacentral:pre_miRNA from 1 species
AAUAAAUAAAUUUGUGAGUUUUUAUAGAAUUUUUGACUAUUCGUCUUAUUUAAAAUAUUUUUAUGAUUAAUAAUAAUAUUAUUAUUGCAUGAUAAAAUAUAAAUAGUAUUUUACGUGUGACUAAUUUUUUUAACUUUUAAUAAUUUUUUUAAAUAAGACCGAUGGUCAAAGUUCGAACUAGAAAACCCAUAAA